rnacentral:rRNA from 1 species
UACGUAGGGGGCAAGCGUUGUCCGGAUUUAUUGGGCGUAAAGCGCGUGUAGGCGGCCAGACAGGUCCGUUGUGAAAACUCGAGGCUCAACCUCGAGAUGUCGAUGGAAACCGUCUGGCUAGAGUCCGGAAGAGGAGUGUGGAAUUCCUGGUGUAGCGGUGAAAUGCGCAGAUAUCAGGAAGAACACCUAUGGCGAAGGCAGCACUCUGGGACGGUACUGACGCUGAGACGCGAAAGCGUGGGGAGCGAACAGG